rfam:Oryza glumipatula chromosome 6, whole genome shotgun sequence.
UAAAAGACAAACCCUAAGUUUCUAUGUCCAACUUUGACUAUCCAUCUUAUAUGAAAUUUUUUUAUAAUUCGUAUUUUUAUUGUUGUUACUUAAAUGAUAAAACAUGAUUAAUAUUUUAUGCGUGACUUGUCUUUUUAGUUUUUUUCAUAAUUUUUUUGAAUAAGAUGGACGGUCAAACGUUGGGCACGGAAACCAGGGUUUGUCUUUUU